ACUCAAAUGAAUUGACGGGGGCUCGCACAAGCGGUGGAUCAUGAGGCUUAAUUCGUCGCUAAGCGAGGAACCUUACCAAGGCUAGAAACCAUACUGCAUGCUCUAUGAAAGUAGAGCAGCCUUCGAGGGUGUAUGGCAGGUGAUGCAUGGCCGUCGUCAGUUCGUGGCUUGAGUUGUUCCCUUAAGUGGGGAAACGAACGCAACCCUCGUUGCCUGUUACAAGUGUCAGGCGAGACUGCCCCCUCACGGGGGAGGAAGGUGAGGAUGACGCCAGGUCCGCAUGUCCUUUGAUGCCUUGGGCUGCACUCGUGAUACAAUGGAUACCACAACAGGACGCAAUGCCGCGAGGCGGAGCAAAUCCUUAUAAAAGUAUCCCCAGUUCGGAUUGGAGGCUGCAAUUCGCCUCCAUGAAGCCGGAAUCGCUAGUAAUCCCGAAUCAGCAACGUCGGGGUGAAUACGUUCCCGAGCCUUGUACACACCGCCCGU
rnacentral:rRNA from 1 species